rnacentral:sRNA from 12 species
UCCAGAGUCUUGAAAGGUCGCUUGAUAGGGUACCUUCAAGAGUGAGAUAUGUAAAUUCAGUAACCCUCCUAUGACGUAAAUGGUACGCUACUAACGAAUAAUAAAGUCAAAGGGCGUAGUUAUAGGGUAUGCCGGAUGAAUAAUCCAAUCUUCAUGUUGGCUUUCUAUUAGCAUUCCAACAUGAAUUUAUUGAGUGGUUACGAUUCCU